rnacentral:rRNA from 1 species
ACGCUGGCGGCGUGCUUAACACAUGCAAGUCGAACGAAGCACUUUAUUAUGAUUUCUUCGGAAUGACGAUUUAGUGACUGAGUGGCGGACGGGUGAGUAACGCGUGGGUAACCUGCCUUAUACAGGGGGAUAACAGUUGGAAACGACUGCUAAUACCGCAUAAGCGCACGGUAUCGCAUGAUACAGUGUGAAAAACUCCGGUGGUAUAAGAUGGACCCGCGUUGGAUUAGCUAGUUGGUGAGGUAACGGCCCACCAAGGCGACGAUCAGUAGCCGGCCUGAGAGGGUGACCGGCCACAUUGGGACUGAGACACGGCCCAGACUCCUACGGGAGGCAGCAGUGGGGAAUAUUGCACAAUGGGGGAAACCCUGAUGCAGCGACGCCGCGUGGAGGAAGAAGGUCUUCGGAUUGUAAACUCCUGUUGUUGGGGAAGAUAAUGACGGUACCCAACAAGGAAGUGACGGCUAACUACGUG